UUGGCAUGAUUGAAUGAGAUGGAUUUUAUAGUACUUGGAAUAACACCAAGUUACUACGAGACAAAUAAUAAUUUGUCUAAACGAAAGGAAACGAAAAAAAAAUAUAAGAAACGAACAAAAAUAAAUAUAUAAGAACUUGGGCCGACCCAAGUAAAUAUAAAUUAAAGUACCAAUGUCCUUAACAAUUUUAAAAGAGUGUUGGGCCAUCAAACUCUCUUAUUUUUUUUCCCAACUUGAGCCCAACUCCACAAAUAAUAUGUUGGGCCCUAUUUAUUCCUAAAAUUUUGUACAAGCCCAAAAUCUUUCCUCUCCUUCCCUAACGCCAUGGAGACUCCUAAUCUUCCAUCUCCCACCCUUCCAUCUUCCAAUCUUCAAUUCUACAAUCAAAGGUCACAAGUUAAAUAUCAGUUUCUUCACUUCCACAUACAUUUUUACAUCUACAAAUUUCAAGCAAAUCCAGAGAGAGAGAGAGAGCCGACGAGAGAGUGAGAAGCUGAAGAAAAAAACUGCUGUUUUUUUUCAAUUGCACACAAAACAAGCCAAGCCAAGGAGCUCAUCCCUUUCGAUCCCACCAAGUUCAUAGCAACGAAGGUGGUUCGCACGCUCGUUAAAGUCGGAUCAAGAAGUUUGUUAAGGAAACUACUAAGCUUUCGAGGGUCUAAGCCCUACUUAGGCUAGUGCACUGAUGGGGAUCGUGAGUAGUCCUUUGGGUCGGCAAGUCCAGUGAUCGAGUUUGUGGCCACAUUCUCGUUUCGCAUGAUGGUUCAGAUAUGGUUGGCGUGGAUGGGGGACGGAGGAUGUUGAGCAUUUGGACGAAGACAGUAUUCAAUAAAUAUUCUGGUUGCUAUUGUGUCUUCAUACAUAGUAGUAGCUAACUCUCGAUUGCUUCCGCUAUGUCAAGUUUUAGAACUCUUAUGUUUUCUUUAUUCUGUUGGACUAGUUUCCUAUGAACUUUAUGCUUCGUGAUUUCAGACUAUAUUUUGGUAAUAAUGUUGUAUCUUUUGGUCUA